rnacentral:tRNA from 1 species
UCCGGGGUCGUCUAACGGUAGGACGGCGGGCUCUGAACCCGCCAAUGCUGGUUCGACCCCAGCCCCCGGAU